GCAUUUUAGCCUGUUCAAACAUCAAUAGGAUGCGGGUACCAGGUGUCCAAACGACUGCUUCAGGGGCGUCUGAGCAGGUGUUUAUUCCAUAUUUCAGUCUCCUGAGGCGUUCAUAAAAUGUGUGUUUUCAUUCCUGCAGUUUUUCCUAGUUUGAGUUGUAGUGGCUAUGCAACCAGGAAUACUUCAGCCAGCAGCCUUGUAAGACGUUUGUGUGACAUAAGAAAAUUCUUGGCACUGUCACUAUUUGAUGUUAGUGAGUGAUUGAGUGACAACGGUUUUAAAGAAUGAGUAAAUUUGAAAGCACCCGGUUGUUGUGGGAAGCGCUAGUGAAACUGAAGAGCCAGCAAGACAACAAGAAGCUGAACAUUUUUUAAAAUUAAAGAAGCAACAAGUCGGAGUUGAAGCAGAAACUUCUUCAAUUGAGGAACUGAGGUUUUGAGCCUUCCAAGCCUUUUACAAGAAAACUUAGAUCGGAAUCUGUUAGAAUUCACCUAUUGGGCAGCAGCAGCCACUCAAAA